GAUGAACGCUAGCGGCAGGCCUAAUACAUGCAAGUCGAACGGUAAGUUGAAUAGCAAUAUUUGACCUAGAGUGACGUACGGGUGCGUAACACGUAUGCAACCUACCUUGUACAGGAGGAUAGCUCGGGGAAACUCGAAUUAACCCUCCAUAAGAUCGUGAAGUGGCAUCACUUAGCGAUAAAAACUCCGGUGGUACAAGAUGGGCAUGCGUCUGAUUAGUUAGUUGGCGGGGUAACGGCCCACCAAGACGAUGAUCAGUAGGGGAACUGAGAGGGUGAUCCCCCACACGGGCACAGAGAUACGGGCCAGACUCCUACGGGAGGCAGCAGUAGGGAAUAUUGGUCAAUGGAUGAAAGUCUGAACCAGCCAUGCCGCGUGCAGGAAGAAGGCCUUCUGGGUUGUAAACUGCUUUUGCCAGGGGAUAAAAAGACCUUGCGAGGUUAAUUGAAGGUACCUGGUGAAUAAGCCACGGCUAACUACGUGCCAGCCGCCGCAGUAACAC
rnacentral:rRNA from 1 species